UACAGAGGGUGCAAGCGUUGUUCGGAAUUAUUGGGCGUAAAGGGAGUGUAGGCGGUUUGUUAAGUCUUCUGUGAAAUCUACGGGCUCAGCCUGUAACGUGCAGAGGAAACUGGCAGACUUGAGUGUUGGAGAGGGCAGGGGAAUACCCAGUGUAGAGGUGAAAUUCGUAGAUAUGGGGAGGAACACCGGUGGCGAAGGCGGCCACCUGGACGGUUUCUGACGCUAAGACGCGAAAGCGUGGGGAGCAAACAGG
rnacentral:rRNA from 1 species